rnacentral:rRNA from 1 species
UACGUAGGGCGCAAGCGUUGUCCGGAAUUAUUGGGCGUAAAGAGCUCGUAGGCGGCUUGUCACGUCGGAUGUGAAAGCCCGGGGCUUAACCCCGGGUCUGCAUUCGAUACGGGCAGGCUAGAGUGUGGUAGGGGAGAUCGGAAUUCCUGGUGUAGCGGUGAAAUGCGCAGAUAUCAGGAGGAACACCGGUGGCGAAGGCGGAUCUCUGGGCCAUUACUGACGCUGGGGUGCGAAAGCAUGGGGAGCGAACAGG